rnacentral:rRNA from 1 species
UGGGGAAUAUUGCGCAAUGGGCGGAAGCCUGACGCAGCGACGCCGCGUGAGGGAUGACGGCCUUCGGGUUGUAAACCUCUUUCAGCAGGGACGAAUUUAGACGGUACCUGUAGAAGAAGCACCGGCCAACUACGUGCCAGCAGCCGCGGUAAUACGUAGGGUGCGAGCGUUGUCCGGAAUUAUUGGGCGUAAAGAGCUCGUAGGCGGUCUGUCGCGUCGAAUGUGAAAACCCGGGGCUCAACUCCGGGCUUGCAUUCGAUACGGGCAGGCUAGAGUUCGGUAGGGGAGUCUGGAAUUCCUGGUGUAGCGGUGAAAUGCGCAGAUAUCAGGAGGAACACCGGUGGCGAAGGCGGGACUCUGGGCCGAUACUGACGCUGAGGAGCGAAAGCGUGGGGAGCGAACAGG